UGACAUUAUUUGCAUGAUUUUACCAUGCAAGACUUUAAAUCCUUCUAAGGCAAGAGUGCAUUCUUUUAUCUUUGUCUUUCCAGAACUUAUCAUCGUUCUUGACAUAUAGAAGUUGCUCAUUAAAUAUUUUCCAAGCACAUGAGUGAAGCAAUGAAGGAGUGAUUUGGAAAUUGUUCCCUGGACCUCCAUCACCACAAUUGCACAAGAAGCAGGGAUCCUGAAUCAUCCACAGAACAGAUAUCAGAAGUGGAAAAUGAUGAGUCCUCUUCUGGAAAAGCAUAAGUCAGCCUGGGAGUGAGGUUCCUGAGUCACUGAGCUGAUCUUCACCAGGACCUGCCUUCUCACUGGAGCAGAUGGUGUAAGGGCCCAGGAGCCCUGACGAAGGUUCUACAUUGGGAUGCUAGAGGUCAUAGACAUUCCUUAAUGCAAUCAUUCCCAAGCCAGACUGACCACCUCCUCAUCAGUCUUAGCAUCUAGUCAAGAGCAAAGGCUCUGGAACCAGACUUCGGAACUCUGAACCCCAGCUCUGCCACUCACAAGCUAUGUGAGCUUAAACAAGUUUCUUAACCUCUCUGUGCCUUAUCUGUAUAGAGGGAAAUUUGUUGCUGUGGAGAUUAAAAUGAACCAAUAUGCGCUGUGCUUGCAAGAGUGCCUGGCACAGAGUCAAAUGUUUGGUACCAGUCUUGCCCCUAGCCUUGGCCUGGCAUGGUGGCCAAUAACCUCCACUGCAUUCCUUGCCCUUCCUCCAGGUACCACCUAGGGAACUUAUUUUAUGAAGGAUUUCAAAAUAUUUCAUGGGAGCAAAGAACUGAAGGGACAAAGAACCAAGUUAUUAGCGUCUGGGCUGAUGGUGGAUUCUUG
rnacentral:lncRNA from 1 species